UACGGGGGGGGCGAGCGUUGUUCGGAAUUACUGGGCGUAAAGGGUUCGUAGGUGGCCGGCUAAGUCAGACGUGAAAUCCCUCAGCUCAACUGGGGAACUGCGUCUGAGACUGGUCGGCUCGAGUGCAGGAGAGGAACGCGGAAUUCCAGGUGUAGCGGUGAAAUGCGUAGAUAUCUGGAGGAACACCGGUGGCGAAGGCGGCGUUCUGGACUGGCUACUGACACUGAUGAACGAAAGCCAGGGGAGCAAACGGG
rnacentral:rRNA from 1 species